rnacentral:rRNA from 1 species
ACGAACGCUGGCGGCGUGCCUAAUACAUGCAAGUCGAGCGAGCGGAACUAACAGAUUUACUUCGGUAAUGACGUUAGGAAAGCGAGCGGCGGAUGGGUGAGUAACACGUGGGGAACCUGCCCCAUAGUCUGGGAUACCACUUGGAAACAGGUGCUAAUACCGGAUAAGAAAGCAGAUCGCAUGAUCAGCUUUUAAAAGGCGGCGUAAGCUGUCGCUAUGGGAUGGCCCCGCGGUGCAUUAGCUAGUUGGUAAGGUAAAGGCUUACCAAGGCGAUGAUGCAUAGCCGAGUUGAGAGACUGAUCGGCCACAUUGGGACUGAGACACGGCCCAAACUCCUACGGGAGGCAGCAGUAGGGAAUCUUCCACAAUGGACGCAAGUCUGAUGGAGCAACGCCGCGUGAGUGAAGAAGGUUUUCGGAUCGUAAAGCUCUGUUGUUGGUGAAGAAGGAUAGAGGUAGUAACUGGCCUUUAUUUGACGGUAAUCAACCAGAAAGUCACGGCUAACUACGUGCCAGCAGCCGCGGUAAUACGUAGGUGGCAAGCGUUGUCCGGAUUUAUUGGGCGUAAAGCGAGCGCAGGCGGAAGAAUAAGUCUGAUGUGAAAGCCCUCGGCUUAACCGAGGAACUGCAUCGGAAACUGUUUUUCUUGAGUGCAGAAGAGGAGAGUGGAACUCCAUGCGUAGCGGUGGAAUGCGUAGAUAUAUGGAAGAACACCAGUGGCGAAGGCGGCUCUCUGGUCUGCAACUGACGCUGAGGCUCGAAAGCAUGGGUAGCGAACAGGAUUAGAUACCCUGGUAGUCCAUGCCGUAAACGAUGAGUGCUAAGUGUUGGGAGGUUUCCGCCUCUCAGUGCUGCAGCUAACGCAUUAAGCACUCCGCCUGGGGAGUACGACCGCAAGGUUGAAACUCAAAGGAAUUGACGGGGGCCCGCACAAGCGGUGGAGCAUGUGGUUUAAUUCGAAGCAACGCGAAGAACCUUACCAGGUCUUGACAUCUAGUGUCAUUUGUAGAGAUACAAAGUUCCCUUCGGGGACGCUAAGACAGGUGGUGCAUGGCUGUCGUCAGCUCGUGUCGUGAGAUGUUGGGUUAAGUCCCGCAACGAGCGCAACCCUUGUUAUUAGUUGCCAGCAUUAAGUUGGGCACUCUAAUGAGACUGCCGGUGACAAACCGGAGGAAGGUGGGGAUGACGUCAAGUCAUCAUGCCCCUUAUGACCUGGGCUACACACGUGCUACAAUGGGCAGUACAACGAGAAGCGAGCCUGCGAAGGCAAGCGAAUCUCUGAAAGCUGUUCUCAGUUCGGACUGCAGUCUGCAACUCGACUGCACGAAGCUGGAAUCGCUAGUAAUCGCGGAUCAGCACGCCGCGGUGAAUACGUUCCCGGGCCUUGUACACACCGCCCGUCACACCAUGGGAGUCUGCAAUGCCCAAAGCCGGUGGCCUAACCUUCGGGAAGGAGCCGUCUAAGGCAGGGCAGAUGACUGGGGU